UAGGCGUUCUCUGGAAUAAUAUAGAUCGUCUUUAUAUAAGAGACGUUCUGUAUGUUAAUAAUUAUUUUUUUUUAGAUGAUAUAGAACGGUCAUCUUGAUAACCGUUUUAUAUUGUAUUAAUUUUUUUUUUAAAUUAAGAUGAAAUUAUACACGCGAUUUACCCAAAUUAUCAAAGGCGGCUAAAAGGGAAAAGUGAAGCGCGCUUCUCUUUCACUUUUCAUUAGAAUACUGAAUUAAAAAAUAAAUUUACCCAAACCUCUUUCUAGACUCAUUCAUCAGAAAAAAAAAGUACGAAACCUCCAUUAAACCUCCAUAUCAAAACCUUCAUCAGCCACUCCCGCUUACAGUGCCGCUCCACCGCCGCAGCAUCGCACCAGUAAAUUAAGGGCAAUGAUCAAUUUUAGCGCGGAACAUUGAAAGGAUAUCACAAAAAUAAAGAAGAAACCUUACAUUAAAUGGAUAAGCAUAGAGUGUCCUCGUCAAGCUAAUGGCUCUAGUGAUAGUGGAUAUUACGUUUGUCGCUACAUGAUUGAGACAAUUGAAUCUAGGCAAAUGAUCAUCCCCGAUAAGUAUUUUAAGCAAGUUCCUCAUACAUAUUCUCAACAAAUGAUUGACGAGCUUAGGGAAAGGUGGAUUUCAUAUGUUACCGGAUACCAUCAACCAAUUGACGACGACGAUGAUUUAUGUGUAUUGUAGAUCUAUAUGGUAUUGGUAUAUUUUGGGCAUCAAUUUUUUUUUUAAAUCACAUUAAAUAGAAAGGUUUUUGUUAUUUAACUCACGUAUUUGUUUGUAUAGAACAAAUUUUGUAUGAAUGAUUCAAUUUAAUUGUGGUUGGAUGUUUUAAAUUAUAUAUAUGAAGUAUAUUUUGAUGGCUUUCGU